UAGGGGAGGCGUAGCGAAAGCGAGUCUUAAUAGGGCGUUUAGUCGCUGGGUAUAGACCCGAAACCGGGCGAUCUAUCCAUGGGCAGGUUGAAGGUUAGGUAACACUGACUGGAGGACCGAACCGACUCCCGUUGAAAAGGUAGCGGAUGACUUGUGGAUCGGAGUGAAAGGCUAAUCAAGCUCGGAGAUAGCUGGUUCUCCUCGAAAGCUAUUUAGGUAGCGCCUCACGUAUCACUCCAGGGGGUAGAGCACUGUUUCGGCUAGGGGGUCAUCCCGACUUACCAAACCGAUGCAAACUCCGAAUACCUGGAAGUGCCGAGCGUGGGAGACACACGGCGGGUGCUAACGUCCGUCGUGAAAAGGGAAACAACCCAGACCGUCAGCUAAGGUCCCAAAGUUGUGGUUAAGUGGUAAACGAUGUGGGAAGGCUUAGACAGCUAGGAGGUUGGCUUAGAAGCAGCCACCCUUUAAAGAAAGCGUAAUAGCUCACUAGUCGAGUCGGCCUGCGCGGAAGAUGUAACGGGGCUCAAACCACACACCGAAGCUACGGGUGUCACGUAAGUGACGCGGUAGAGGAGCGUUCUGUAAGCCUGUGAAGGUCAAUUGAGAAGUUGGCUGGAGGUAUCAGAAGUGCGAAUGCUGACAUGAGUAACGACAAUGCGAGUGAAAAACUCGCACGCCGAAAGACCAAGGGUUCCUGCGCAACGUUAAUCGACGCAGGGUGAGUCGACCCCUAAGGCGAGGCUGAAAAGCGUAGUCGAUGGGAAACGGGUUAAUAUUCCCGUACUUCUAAUUACUGCGAUGGGGGGACGGAGAAGGCUAGGCCAGCUUGGCGUUGGUUGUCCAAGUUUAAGGUUGUAGGCUGAAUUCUUAGGCAAAUCCGGGAAUUCAAGGCCGAGAGCUGAUGACGAGUUAUCUUUUAGAUGACGAAGUGGUUGAUGCCAUGCUUCCAGGAAAAGCCUCUAAGCUUCAGGUAAUUAGGAAUCGUACCCCAAACCGACACAGGUGGUCGGGUAGAGAAUACCAAGGCGCUUGAGAGAACUCGGGUGAAGGAACUAGGCAAAAUGGCACCGUAACUUCGGGAGAAGGUGCGCCGGUGAGGGUGAAGUAUUUACUACGUAAGCCCAUGCCGGUCGAAGAUACCAGGCCGCUGCGACUGUUUAUUAAAAACACAGCACUCUGCAAACACGAAAGUGGACGUAUAGGGUGUGACGCCUGCCCGGUGCCGGAAGGUUAAUUGAUGGGGUUAGCUAACGCGAAGCUCUUGAUCGAAGCCCCGGUAAACGGCGGCCGUAACUAUAACGGUCCUAAGGUAGCGAAAUUCCUUGUCGGGUAAGUUCCGACCUGCACGAAUGGCGUAACGAUGGCGGCGCUGUCUCCACCCGAGACUCAGUGAAAUUGAAAUCGCUGUGAAGAUGCAGUGUAUCCGCGGCUAGACGGAAAGACCCCGUGAACCUUUACUAUAGCUUUGCACUGGACUUUGAAUUUGCUUGUGUAGGAUAGGUGGGAGGCUUUGAAGCGUGGACGCCAGUCUGCGUGGAGCCAACCUUGAAAUACCACCCUGGCAACUUUGAGGUUCUAACUCAGGUCCGUUAUCCGGAUCGAGGACAGUGUAUGGUGGGUAGUUUGACUGGGGCGGUCUCCUCCUAAAGAGUAACGGAGGAGUACGAAGGUGCGCUCAGACCGGUCGGAAAUCGGUCGUAGAGUAUAAAGGCAAAAGCGCGCUUGACUGCGAGACAGACACGUCGAGCAGGUACGAAAGUAGGUCUUAGUGAUCCGGUGGUUCUGUAUGGAAGGGCCAUCGCUCAACGGAUAAAAGGUACUCCGGGGAUAACAGGCUGAUACCGCCCAAGAG
rnacentral:rRNA from 1 species